rnacentral:rRNA from 1 species
CCGCGUGCAGGAAGACGGCCCUAUGGGUUGUAAACUGCUUUUGUACCGGAGAAAACCUUUCCCUGCGGGGAGAGCUGAUCGUACGGUGAGAAUAAGCAUCGGCUAACUUCGUGCCAGCAGCCGCGGUAAGACGAAGGAUGCAAGCGUUAUCCGGAUUCAUUGGGUUUAAAGGGAGCGUAGGCGGUCUAAUAAGUCAGUGGUGAAAUCUCUCGGCUUAACUGAGAAAUGGCCAUUGAUACUGUUGGACUUGAGUACAGAUGCCGUUGGCGGAAUAUGACAUGUAGUGGUGAAAUACAUAGAGAUGUCAUAGAACACCGAUUGCGAAGGCAGCUGACGAAACUGUAACUGACGCUGAGGCUCGAAAGUGUGGGGAUCAAACAGGAUUAGAUACCCUGGUAGUCCACACUGUAAACGAUGAUUACUCGCUGCUGAGGGGUGACCUUCAGUGGCUUAGCGAAAGCGAUAAGUAAUCCACCUGGGGAGUACGCCGGCAACGGUGAAACUCAAAGGAAUUGACGGGGGCCCGCACAAGCGGAGGAGCAUGUGGUUUAAUUCGAUGAUACGCGAGGAACCUUUACAGGGCUUGAAAGUUAGUGACCGGUGGUGA